CCUACGGGAGGCAGCAGUGAGGAAUAUUGCGCAAUGGAGGAAACUCUGACGCAGCCAUGCCGCGUGCAGGAAGACGGCCCUACGGGUUGUAAACUGCUUUUAUAUAGGAAGAAACCCCGAUACGUGUAUCGGCUUGACGGUACUAUAUGAAUAAGGACCGGCUAACUCCGUGCCAGCAGCCGCGGUAAUACGGAGGGUCCAAGCGUUAUCCGGAUUUAUUAGGUUUAAAGGGUCCGCAGGCGGGAUUUUAAGUCAGUGGUGAAAGCCUACAGCUCAACUGUAGAACUGCCAUUGAUACUGAUAUCCUUGAGUGUGGUUGAAGUGGGCGGAACAUGUCAUGUAGCGGUGAAAUGCAUAGAUAUGACAUAGAACACCAAUUGCGAAGGCAGCUCACUAAGCCAUUACUGACGCUGAGGGACGAAAGCGUGGGGAGCGAACAGGAUUAGAUACCCUGGUAGUCCACGCCGUAAACGAUGAUCACUCGUUGCUAGCGAUACACUGUUAGUGACCAAGCGAAAGUGUUAAGUGAUCCACCUGGGAAGUACGUUCGCAAGAAUGAAACUCAAAGGAAUUGACGG
rnacentral:rRNA from 1 species